AUUGAACGCUGGCGGCAUGCCUUACACAUGCAAGCCGAACGGCAGCGCGGACUUCGGUCUGGCGGCGAGUGGCGAACGGGUGAGUAAUACAUCGGAACGUACCCUGUUGUGGGGGAUAACUAGUCGAAAGAUUAGCUAAUACCGCAUACGCCCUGAGGGUGAAUGUGGGGGACCGCAAGGCCCCACGCAGCAGGAGCGGCCGAUGUCUGAUUAGCUAGUUGGUGGGGUAGCGGCCCACCAAGGCGACGAUCAGUAGCUGGUCUGAGAGGACGAUCAGCCACACUGGGACUGAGACACGGCCCAGACUCCUACGGGAGGCAGCAGUGGGGAAUUUUGGACAAUGGGGGCAACCCUGAUCCAGCAAUGCCGCGUGUGUGAAGAAGGCCUUCGGGUUGUAAAGCACUUUUGUCCGGAAAGAAAUCGCGCUGGUUAAUACCUGGCGUGGAUGACGGUACCGGAAGAAUAAGCACCGGCUAACUACGUGCCAGCCGCCGCGGUAA
rnacentral:rRNA from 1 species